GCGGAGCUCUGCGCUGCCGCGGGCCGAGUGGCAGGCCGCGGCUCUCCGUGGGGUUGAUAAAGGCCGCUGGAGCACAGGCACACCAUCGGAUACCGUCUAACCAGAGGCCCGUGACCUUGUCCACCUAGGCUUUUGCUCUGCAGACCCUUUCCAAAGAAGGAGCUGAAAAUUAGUUCGGGCGUACUCGGAGCCCAGUAUCGGAUGUUUCUGCUGUGACUGUGAACUGCUCUUACGAAGUAGAGCCCUGACUGAAGAGAUGAGACAACACGGAGAAAAGAGAAAUGUAGGCAGAGACUUUGUAGUGAAGAGGUUGACCUGGGUAAUAUGGUGUGACUUCUCUUAUCCCAGCUCCUAUGAUAGUGGGCUUCUGUAGCAGUACAACUGUCGAUCAGUAAGAGAUCUGCGAACAUCAGAGUUUAAGAGAUGGGGAGAAAAAGUUUCAAUAGAUCAUUAAAAGGCACAGAAUGCUUUCAUCCUUUUGGGGAGAACUGUUCCUGUUGUCCCACACAAGUCUUUGAGUGUUUGUACUGAACAGGUUCUGGAAAUCCAAAUACAGUGCAUCAGGUGUUGCCAGCUGUCAUCGGGGGUGUCCUUGAACAGUCUUCCGGAGUUCCUUAGCAUCGUGAUCUAGACUUUUCCCAUGUGGAUCCUGCAUUGCCUAUGUCUUGUGCCCCUGGACCUAAUUAUUGUGGAUAACUGGGGAGAGUAUUUGGGGUAAAGAAACGAAACGCACACGGGAAGCUCCCUGUUCCCGAGGGAAUGCUUUAGGUACCACGUGCAGCUUCUGAACUACAUCGAUAGUUCCCGCUCCCACAGAAGCCUUCCAAAGCUGGAACAGACAGGGAAGAAAAUUCCAAGAGUGGUGGGAGGUGCUUUCUCCCAGGACUGGACAGCACUGAGAUGCUGGAACUGCCUCUCUGGAUGUGUGCUGAGCUCUUGUUGCUAUGGACUGUGCAGCCUUAAUUGCUGUGGGUUCCAGUCACCGGAGAAUUGGAAAUACUUAUUAAUUAGACCACAGAGAUGUUUUCUGAAAUCUUUCCCUUCUUUUUGCCUUUAGUGGUAGAUUUUCUUUUUCUGCCUUUUGAAUUUACGGUGAUUCUUUCAUGUUAUUCACCUACCCAAAUUCCUUGCAGCUCCUGGGGCAGGGAAAAGCUUCUCCUGUGUGUGAGGUUCAAUGGGAAAAUGAUACCAUGUAUUCCGCCUCCUUAAUAAAUGUAACUGCUCUUUGUA